GGAUAGCUCAGUUGGUUAGAACAUGGUACUGAUAACGCCAAGGUUGCAGGUUCGAUUCCAAUAUGAGACA
rnacentral:tRNA from 1 species